rnacentral:rRNA from 1 species
AGUGAACGCUGGCGGCGUGCUUUACACAUGCAAGUCGAACGAGAACGGGUUAUAGCUUGCUAUAAUUGUCAGCUAAGUGGCGCACGGGUGAGUAAUGUAUAGGUAAUAUGCCUCUUACUAAGGGAUAACAAAUGGAAACGUUUGCUAAUACCUUAUACUCCUUAUUAACAUAAGUUAAUAAGGGAAAGAUUUAUUGGUAAGAGAUUAGCCUGUAUUGUAUCAGUUAGUUGGUGGGGUAAUAGCUUACCAAGACUAUGACACAUAACUGGUUUGAGAGGAUGAUCAGUCACACUGGAACUGAGACACGGUCCAGACUCCUACGGGAGGCAGCAGUGGGGAAUAUUGCACAAUGGACGAAAGUCUGAUGCAGCAACGCCGCGUGGAGGAUGACACAUUUCGGUGCGUAAACUCCUUUUAUAUGAGAAGAUAAUGACGGUAUUAUAUGAAUAAGCACCGGCUAACUCCGUGCCAGCAGCCGCCGUAA